rnacentral:rRNA from 1 species
UUUGAAUUUAAUAUAUUAUUAAAUUAUUUUUAUUUAUAUUUAUAUAGAGUAAGAAUAUUUAUUUUUUAGUAAUUUUUAUGAAAAAAUAAAUUUUAUUAUAGAUUAUUAGUAUUGUAAGAGAAUUAUAGAUUAUAUAAAAAAGAAAAAUUUAAUUUUUGUACCUUGUGUAUCAGGGUUUAUUUAAUAGAGAUUAAAUAAUUAAUUUUCUCGAAUCAAUAAGGGUUAUAUUUAUAUAUAGAUGUUUUUGUUGAAUAAAAAUUAUUAAUAUAAAUAUAGAAAUGAAACGUUAUUCGAUUAUUGAUAUAUCUAGUUUUUAAAGAAAAAAAUUUAAUUUUUUUAUUAAUUUAAUAAUAAGUUAAAUUAUUAAUUUAUUAUUAUUAAUAUUGUAUAUUUUAGGGGAUGAGCUUUAAAAUAAAAUAUUUUAAUAUUUUAUUUAUUUUAUUAAUUAAGUAGGAUUGUAAGUUUUUAUCUUUUAGAUUGUGUUGUAACUUUUUUAAGUUUAAUUAUGAUUUAUAUAAAAUUUUAAAGUUUUUUAUUUAAAUAUAAAUUUAAAUUAUAUAAAUUUAGAAAUAGUGAUAAAAUUAGUAUAAUUUAAAUUGUUAAUUUUUAUAAUUUAUAUAAAGGUUAAAUAAAGGAAUUCGGCAAAUAGAAUUUUCACCUGUUUAUUAAAAACAUGGCCUUUUGAGUAUAAUUUAAGGUCUAACCUGCCCAAUGAAGUUUUAAAUGGCCGCGGUAUUUUGACCGUGCAAAGGUAGCAUAAUCAUUAGUUUUUUAAUUGAAAGCUGGAAUGAAAGGUUGGAUGAAAAAUAAGCUGUCUCUAUUUAAAUUUAUUAGAAUUUUAUUUUUAAGUUAAAAAGCUUAAAUUUUAAUAGAAGACGAGAAGACCCUGUAGAGUUUUAUUUAUUUUAUAAAUAAAAAUAAUAGUAUUAAUUAUUUUUAUUUAUUAAAUAAAUUUAGUUGGGGUGAUUGAAAAAUUUAAUAAACUUUUUUUAUAUACAUACAUUAAUUUAUGAUUAUUUGAUCCUUAGUUUAAGAUUAAAAGAUGAAAUUACCUUAGGGAUAACAGCGUAAUUUUUUUUGAGAGUUCUAAUCGAAAAAAAAGAUUGCGACCUCGAUGUUGGAUUAAAAUAAAAUUUUGGUGUAGAAGCUAAAAUAUUUGGGUCUGUUCGACCUUUAAAAUUUUACAUGAUCUGAGUUUAGACCGGCGUGAGCCAGGUUGGUUUCUAUCUCUAUUAAUAGAUAAUAUUUUAGUACGAAAGGACCAAAUAUUAAAUAUAAUUAUUUUUUUUAUGAAUAAUAUU